rnacentral:rRNA from 1 species
UACGUAGGGGGCAAGCGUUGUCCGGAUUUAUUGGGCGUAAAGAGCGUGUAGGCGGCUUGACAGGUCUGCUGUGAAAACUCGAGGCUCAACCUCGAGACGUCGGCGGAAACCAUCUGGCUAGAGUCCGGAAGAGGAGAGUGGAAUUCCUGGUGUAGCGGUGAAAUGCGCAGAUAUCAGGAAGAACACCCGUGGCGAAGGCGGCUCUCUGGGACGGUACUGACGCUGAGACGCGAAAGCGUGGGGAGCGAACAGG